AUGACAUGUUUUCCACCUUCAAGUGGUUUAACUGAAUGUGGGGAAGUGACAGGGGAGGACAAGGCCUGGACCCAGAUAAGGCUGAUACAUUGGAGGCAAAUUGAACUGUGGGGUAAGGACAAGGCCUUUCUGCUGCAGCUGUGGGAACAAGAAUCCUGGUAACACUGAGUUACCAGAACAGCCCAGAGAUCUGCCCAUGCCCACCCAGCCCACCCAGCUUCGACCUCGGCCCUGUGCAGGUAUGGGCACAAGGCUGGCGACGAAUGGGAGACAAUCCUUUACACGAGAAGACACUCUUCCUGUUGAGUUUGAAAAGUUUUGAGUGUUGAAAGCAGUAUGUUGCCAAACUGCCUGGGUGAACAAUUCAUCCAUUAAUCCACCAAUCAACAAGCAUUUAUAAAUCUGCCACAAUGUCCCAAGCAGUGGGACAUGUGCUGGGGAAUAUAGAGAGAUAACAUGUAUAUAUAUACACAUAUAGAAGCAAUUAGCCUUUCAAUAAGGUUUUAAGCAGCAUACUGGAAGUAUCAGGCACAGGGCAAAAGAUACAAAAAUAAAGCCAUCCGUGUCCUCAAGGAGCUUACCAUCUAGAUGCAUGUAUUCACAAAACACGUAAGAACUAAGCCUAGUUUUAGUGGGGAGGUGUAGGAAAGCAGGGCCAGAAGCCUGCUCAGCAUGGCCCAGCUCCCCUGAGGCCAUCACUGCUCCUGUCCUCUCCUCUCUACCUGCCUUCUUCCUCUCUCAUUCACCCACACCCUGCCCUCUUCUUCUUUAGGCUCCUCUCUCCCAGACGCCUCACAGAAGUGGACUGCUCAUGUGACUUCACAUCAGCCGCUCAGGCCCGGAACUUUGACAGGGCCUCUACGUACCAAGAGGUCCUCAGACUGACCCAUGAUGGCACCCAGCUACAGAACUUUACCCUGGAUCCAAACAGUCUCCUGGUGGAUGGAUAUUCUACCAAGAGAACAGAUGAAAAAACUAAGAAAAUUGGUGAGUAUGGCAUCAGCCUUGCCCCAUACCAGUUCCCUGCGUGUGUGUGUUGGAAGGGGAGCUGAGGGUGAUCCUUGAAGAGUAGGAGAGUUGGGGGAGGGUAGGAACUGAGUGUCCAGGAUGACUUUCCUCUCACCCUAGCCAGCACUCAAUGCUGAGCAUCCAAGAACACUGUCUUGGACUGUGUUCAUCAGACAAAUGAACAGCGGUCAUCCCUACCAAUUGUCAGAUCCCUGAGUGUAUCUCCCCUUGCUGAGCACCCUGGUGGGGGGGGUGGACAUGGGGAAGGUUCUGUGCCCUGCAUCUUAAGCCAUUCCCUGUCAUUGGAUAUGACUCAGUAUCACUGUCACCUUUCUCUGUUCUGACAUUGGGUCCCCGCACUAUCACCUUCCCUUGUCCCAGGUUAUGACACUGGGGUCCCUGAACCGUCUUUUCUGCCUUAAGUGACCUUCCCUCAGUUUGCCCAACUCCUUUUCUCCUAUGUCCUGAGCCCCAGCUCCUUUCUCUAAAUUCACUCCCAUAUUCUGCCCGCCCCCUUUCUCCUACGUCAGCUUCUUCUGAAGAGCAAAGGUCUGGUGGCGUGGGAGGUGGGAGGAUGCUCUGGAUUGCAUCCUUCAGCCUCCAUCCUCCAUUUUCCCCAUGGAUUACUCUUUGUCCCCUCCUUUCCCAUGGGGUGGGAAUUCCAAAGGACAUUUAUUCCCCACUCUGUGCUGUCCCCUUGUCCCCAUGAAGGCCCCUCAGCAUCACCUCUUCUCCCCCUAGACCUGCCCUACUGGGCCACAUUCUCAUGUGCCUGGCUAUGCUCCUGGGGCUCAUCCUGUGCCUUCUGUCCUGCUUCAUGGUAAGAGAACUUGGGGAACCCCUAAGAGACACUAAGGGCUCUGUGU
rnacentral:lncRNA from 1 species